CGCCCAACAGCUAGCCCACCCAAACAAUUUCAACAAGCCCCUGUUAAUAACCCCUAAAUACCCCCGUAUUUAAAUUAAACAAACCAUUUUUCCCCCCUAGUAUAGGCGAUAGAAAGGGGACUACGGCGCAAUAGAGAAAGUACCGCAAGGGAAUGCUGAAAGAGAAGUGAAAUAACCCAGUAAAGCCUAAAAAAGCAGAGAUUUAAGCUCGUACCUUUUGCAUCAUGAUUUAGCGAGUGUACCCCAAGCAAAGAGCACUUUAGUUUGACGUCCCGAAACUAGGUGAGCUACUCCAAGACAGCCUAUUAAUAGGGCGUACCCGUCUCUGUGGCAAAAGAGUGGGGAGAGCUUUGAGUAGAGGUGAUAAACCUACCGAACCUAGUUAUAGCUGGUUGUCCAAGAAAUGAAUAGAAGUUCAGCCUUCUGGCUUCUCUUUUCACCCUAGUUUAACCCCUAUUGAUGCAUUAAAGAAACCAAAAGAGUUAGUCAAAGGGGGUACAGCCCCUUUGAAUCAAGACACAACUUUACCAGGAGGGUAAAGAUCAUA
rnacentral:rRNA from 1 species